rnacentral:tRNA from 1 species
GGAGAGGUGGCAGAGUGGUCGAUUGCACCGCACUCGAAAUGCGGCGUGGGGGCAACUCCACCGGGGGUUCGAAUCCCUCCCUCUCCGCCA